rnacentral:misc_RNA from 1 species
CAACAGCUGAAAGGAGGUGAUCCAGUGGUUAGAGAUACAUUGGAGCGAGGUGUCGGAACAGUUCGGAGGACGCUGACUUAGGGGCAGCCCCCUAGGAUAGAAAAUCCCGAAUUGGUGUGUGCCUAACCGGCCCCACCUCCUGAGUUCUCGAAGGGCUGUUCGCAAAGCGGGCAGCCCU